rnacentral:rRNA from 1 species
GAUGAACGCUGGCGGCGUGCCUAAUACAUGCAAGUCGAGCGAAUGGAUUAAGAGCUUGCUCUUAUGAAGUUAGCGGCGGACGGGUGAGUAACACGUGGGUAACCUGCCCAUAAGACUGGGAUAACUCCGGGAAACCGGGGCUAAUACCGGAUAACAUUUUGAACCGCAUGGUUCGAAAUUGAAAGGCGGCUUCGGCUGUCACUUAUGGAUGGACCCGCGUCGCAUUAGCUAGUUGGUGAGGUAACGGCUAACCAAGGCAACGAUGCGUAGCCGACCUGAGAGUGUGAUCGGCCACACUGGGACGGAGACACGGCCCAGACUCCGACGGGAGGCAGCAGUAGGGAAUCUUCCGCAAUGGACGAAAGUCUGACGGAGCAACGCCGCGUGAGUGAUGAAGGCCUUCGGGUCGUAAAACUCUGUUGUUAGGGAAGAACAAGUGCUAGUUGAAUAAGCUGACACCUUGACGGUACCUAACCAGAAAGCCACGGCUAACUACGUGCCAGCCGCCGCCGCAG